rnacentral:rRNA from 1 species
AUACGAAGGGGGCUAGCGUUGUUCGGAAUUACUGGGCGUAAAGCGCGCGUAGGCGGACUGAUCAGUUGGGGGUGAAAUCCCAGGGCUCAACCCUGGAACUGCCUCCAAUACUGUCGGUCUUGAGAUCGGAAGAGGUGAGUGGAAUUCCUAGUGUAGAGGUGAAAUUCGUAGAUAUUAGGAGGAACACCAGUGGCGAAGGCGGCUCACUGGUCCGAUACUGACGCUGAGGUGCGAAAGCGUGGGGAGCAAACAGGAUUAGAAACCCUAGUAGUCC